rnacentral:pre_miRNA from 1 species
ACCUCAUGGCCUGGUCUUUAUUAUUUGAGACGAGCUACAUCUUGGAGUGAGGACAUGCCUUGUGGU